UGGGGAAUAUUGCACAAUGGAGGGAACUCUGAUGCAGCGACGCCGCGUGAACGAAGAAGGCUUUCGAGUCGUAAAGUUCUUUUAUAUGGGAAGAUAAUGACGGUACCAUAAGAAGAAGCCCCGGCUAACUACGUGCCAGCAGCCGCGGUAAUACGUAGGGGGCUAGCGUUGUCCGGAAUCACUGGGCGUAAAUGGUUCGCAGGCGGAAAUGCAAGUCAGGUGUAAAAGGCAGUAGCUUAACUACUGUAAGCAUUUGAAACUGCAUAUCUUGAGAAGAGUAGAGGUAAGUGGAAUUUUUAGUGUAGCGGUGAAAUGCGUAGAUAUUAAAAAGAAUACCGGUGGCGAAGGCGACUUACUGGGCUCAUUCUGACGCUGAGGAACGAAAGCGUGGGUAGCAAACAGG
rnacentral:rRNA from 1 species